CCACCCCCAAAUCCCUUGCCUCCACCAGAUCCCCCGCCGCCACCCCGAAACCUAGCUAGUUCGUGCACCGCGCGGCCACCUCCGUGCUAGACCACCGCGCUCGACCACCGCCCGCCAGUGUAGCUCCCCCACCCCCACCGCCGGCGUAGCCCAUCACCACCGCAGCUCCUCUACUUCCGCGCACCCCAAUCCGCACUCCAGUGGACCGCAAGACACCACCGCCCCCAACUAUCCACCGUCGACGGAGGCCCUCCAACCAGCAAACCACUGCCGCCGUCUCCCCCCAUAACGCGUGGCAGACACUCCGCCCCUCCGCCGCCCUAACUACCACUGCAUCCUGCUCCCGACCACUGCCGUCGUUACCCCACUCCAGAGCAGCGCCUCCGGGCACCCCGUCAGCCACCAUCUUCAUCGCCAAAGCCACACCAUCGGUAGACACCAUCCUCCAUGGAAGGGCUUCAUCACAGCAACUACUACACUCGUGCACUUCCUCCCUGAGGAGGCUUCACCAAGCAUCAAGUCACUGGUCCGCCUCCUCCACAAGCCCCCGAAGCAGCAGACCACGUGUUGGCCCUCCUCUCCAGGGAGCAGCUUUGCCUGCUGAAUAUCCUUUCCCUGGACAUCGCUGCCUCCUGUACUUCAUUGGACAGGCAAUUUUAGUGAAACUGUUCAAGAAUGGACAAGUGUUAGAUGGAUAAAGCUAGAAAUACACAAGCAUAUAUAGACGGGGUAGAGAAAUUCAUAGAUUUUUCUUUUAGUCAUUCGACAAGAGGGAACACUAUACUAUGUCCUUGUAGAAUUUGCUUGAACUGUUGUUGGUUUGAAGCUCAGCAAUCAAAUGCAAUUCUUGUCGAGCGUGUAGAUCAAAUGGAGCAUAAUUUCCAAACAAUAGUUACAACUCUGAAGGAUGAACUUCAACAAAUGAGGAGACUGUUACAAUCAAAUAUGCAGCAAAAUAUUCAGUUCAAUCCAGAGUAUGACUUGUCUCGCUCUGGAUAUGAAUAUGGAGGUGGCCAUGGUGGUGGCUAUCGAUAUGAAGGUGGCCAUGGAGGUGGACAUCGACAUGAAGAUGGAUAUGAAGGUGGAUAUGGAGGUGGAUAUCGACAUGAAGAUGGAUAUGAAGGUGGAUAUGGAGGUGGAUAUGGACAUUAAGGGGGGUAUGAACAUGAAGGGGAGUAUGAGCAUGAAGAGAGUGUGGAAUCUGCCACCCGCAGCCAUGAGGUGCGACAAGAGAAAGAAGCAACCAUUUUGCAUAAGAAGGCUGAAGAAGCACUCUUGCAAAAGAAGUUAACAACACCCACUUAGAAAAACUUUGUACUUUCUAGUACCGCUCUACAUAAGGUGCUGCAAGAGAAGGAAUCAACCAUUUUGCAAAAGAAGAAGGCAACAGGGCUCACCCAACAAAGUAAGGAUGUGGCACUUCAUUGCCACAAGAUGGCAACAAGCAAGCAAGUUGCAAUCACACAAAAAAUCAGCAGUCAGAAAGGAAAGGAUGUGAUCAUGUACAAUCUUUAUCGAGAUCAUAGUAUCCUAGUGGCAAAAGCAACCAUUCUAUCAAUUGAUCAUAGAAAGGUGGUAGGUGGUCAGGAGCUUGGCUCUGAAUAUUGUGAGGUUGCCGUGAACUAUGUAAUAAAAAGGGAUGCUAUACUACCUCGUGGUGUUGGGAACAUGACCACCAUGGGGCAAGCUCAAGGGCGAUGUAUCACGUGGCCAUACAAGCAUUUGGAAGUGGACAAGUCUAUGGAAAAAAGCAGGAAUGCGACCACGAGCAGGCCGAGGAGGUUUCCCAAAGGUACACAAGUCGAUGAUGGUUUGGAAGAUUUUCAAGCUCCUGCAGAUUUGGAAGACCUACAAUAAUUGGUGGAGUGAUAAUGUAAUAUGCUUGUUUAGUUUGUGAAACAUGGACACUUGCUCCGCUCCUUUUGCUGGUUGUUAAGCCACUGUGCUCAUUUUGGUUGUGUGGCACACCCAGAUUUGGAAGAUUUGGAAGACCUACUAUUUCAUUUUGUUGGUUGUGUGGCACAUUUUAAAACGUAUAUGCAUUGUACCUUUUGUGGCACAACCUCCUUACACACACACACACACAUAUAUAUAUAUAUA